GCAGUAGCCGCGGUAAGACAGAGGAUGCAAGCGUUAUCCGGAAUGAUUGGGCGUAAAGUGUCUGUAGGUGGCUUUUCAAGUCCGCCGUCAAAUCCCAGGGCUCAACCCUGGACAGGUGGUGGAAACUACCAAGCUGGAGUAUGGUAGGGGCAGAGGGAAUUUCCGGUGGAGCGGUAAAAUGCAUUGAGAUCGGAAAGAACACCAACGGCGAAAGCACUCUGCUGGGCCGACAUUGACACUGAGAGACGAAAGGUAGGGGAGCAAAUGGGAUUAGAUACCCGCGUAGUCCCUGUCUCUUAUAC
rnacentral:rRNA from 1 species